rnacentral:tRNA from 1 species
GCGGGGUCUGGCGGACGGGCUGGUGACGCAGUUGCGGUGCGGAGCGGCCUAUCGUGCGCCGGGGCCGGCCGAGAUCGCCGACCUCGGGGUCCCGCU